UAGGAAUCUCCACAAUGGACGAAGUCUGAUGGAGCAACGCCGCGUGAGUGAUGAAGGGUUUCGGCUCGUAAAACUCUGUUGUUGGAGAAGAACGGGUGUCAGAGUAACUGUUGACAUCGUGACGGUAUCCAACCAGAAAGCCACGGCUAACUACGUGCCAGCAGCCGCGGUAAUACGUAGGUGGCAAGCGUUGUCCGGAUUUAUUGGGCGUAAAGCGAGCGCAGGCGGUUUUUUAGGUCUGAUGUGAAAGCCUUCGGCUUAACCGGAGAAGUGCAUCGGAAACCGGGAGACUUGAGUGCAGAAGAGGACAGUGGAACUCCAUGUGUAGCGGUGAAAUGCGUAGAUAUAUGGAAGAACACCAGUGGCGAAGGCGGCUGUCUGGUCUGCAACUGACGCUGAGGCUCGAAAGCAUGGGUAGCGAACAGGAUUAGAUACCCUGGUAGUCCAUGCCGUAAACGAUGAGUGCUAAGUGUUGGAGGGUUUUCCGCCCUUCAGUGCUGCAGCUAACGCAUUAAGCACUCCGCCUGGGGGAGUACGACCGCAAGGUUGAAAC
rnacentral:rRNA from 1 species